CUGCUGCCUCCCGUAGGAGUCUGGGCCGUGUCUCAGUCCCAAUGUGGCCGGUCACUCUCUCAAGCCGGCUACUGAUCGUUGCUUUGGUAGGCCAUUACCCCUGCCAACUGGCUAAUCAGACGCGGGGCCAUCGUAUGCCGAUAAAUCUUUUCACACCAUGCCAUGCAGCAUUGUGUGCUUAUGCGGUAUUAGCAGUCAUUUCUGACUGUUGUCCCCCUGCAUACGG
rnacentral:rRNA from 1 species